GCAAGUCGAACGGUAACAGAAGAGCUUGCUCUUGCUGACGAGUGGCGGACGGGUGAGUAAUACUUAGGAAUCUAUCCAGUAGUUGGGGAUAACGUGUGGAAACGCACGCUAAUACCGAAUACGCACUAUGGUGGAAAGAGGGGGCUCUUCGGACCUCUCACUAUUGGGUGAGCCUAAGCCGGAUUAGCUAGUUGGUGGGGUAAUGGCCUACCAAGGCGACGAUCCGUAGCUGGUCUGAGAGGACGAUC
rnacentral:rRNA from 1 species